rnacentral:rRNA from 1 species
GACGAACGCUGGCGGCGUGCCUAAUACAUGCAAGUAGGACGCAGUUGCGAACGGGUGAGUAACGCGUAGGUAACUACCUAUUAGAGGGGGGUAACUAUUGGAAACGAUAGCUAAUACCGCAUACUAGUAGAUGGACCUGCGUUGUAUUAGCUAGUAGGUAGGGGAAUGGCCUACCUAGGCAACGCUACAUAGCCGACCUGGGAGGGUGGUCGGCCAAACUGGGACCGGUACACGGGCCAGAAUCCCACGGGAGGCAGCCGUAGGGAAUUUUCGGCAAUGGGGGGAACCCUGAACGGGCAACGCCGGGUGAGUGAAGAAGGUUUUCGGAUCGUAAAGCUCUGUUGUUAAGGAAGCGGUACUUAACCAGAAAGGGACGGCUAACUACGUGCCAGCAGCCGCGGUAAUAC